CAGCCGCCGCGGUAAUACGUAGGGCGCAAGCGUUAUCCGGAAUUAUUGGGCGUAAAGAGCUCGUAGGCGGUUUGUCGCGUCUGCCGUGAAAGUCCGGGGCUCAACCCCGGAUCUGCGGUGGGUACGGGCAGACUAGAGUGAUGUAGGGGAGACUGGAAUUCCUGGUGUAGCGGUGAAAUGCGCAGAUAUCAGGAGGAACACCGAUGGCGAAGGCAGGUCUCUGGGCAUUAACUGACGCUGAGGAGCGAAAGCAUGGGGAGCGAACAGGAUUAGAUACCCCUGUAGUCCCUGUCUCUUAUAC
rnacentral:rRNA from 1 species